UUUCUUUUCUUUUUCUUCCUUUCCCUUUCUUUUCGUAUUUGAUAUGGUAAAUUGUUGCACGUUAUCAUUCGUCGCCUUGUGCUUUUUGUUCGUUUUAGUCGAGCAAAUUUGGGUGUUUUAGCAUUGUGUUUACAUAAACUUGUAAGUGCACUACUUCCUCUUCUUUGGGGUUAUUUGUAUGACUAUUAUUGUUUUAAUUAUUUAGGUUUCUAAAAGAAAGGUAGGAAAAGUGUGGCGGCCGAUUAGUUAUGCAUUGAAUGUAAAUUCGUUGUUUCUGAUUAGGCGGAGAUCGGGAGGCGAUUAACCCUCCAACGAGCUAAGGGUUUGUAAGGCUGUUGUUUCUUUCAAGGGUAAGUGAUUAAUGCCCUAUUUAAGGUCGAAUCUCCGUGUUAAGGUCAAAUAGUUAGCGUUUGCGAUCGAAAAAUGUUUGGAUUUUUAGUAUGUCGCUAUUAAUUCAGUUGCUUUAAAUACUAUUUUAGGGUUUAAAAUUUUGUCGUUGUGUCGCUAUUUAG
rnacentral:lncRNA from 1 species